AGGCCUGCACAGAUGUGGGUCUUCUCCCUCAUGACGGUCACGGGAAGCGACCUGGGUCAGGGUUCCAGAAACACAUCCAAAAGGGAACACGGCCGUCCGACACACAAGAUGCUGGAGCUGAGCUUCAAACACCCUCGGUGCCGAUCUCCCCAGGUCCCAACAGGCUGGAGCUCCUGGGCAUCGCCGUGGUUACAUGGAAGGGCAGUGAGGAGAGCAAAUGACAAAGAUGAUCCGUGGCCCACAGAUCACGUGGUGUAGAGGUGGAUGAGCUCUUGGGAGUCUACCAGUUCAACCACCCUCAUCGCCCAGCAAUUGAAAGGAAUGGCCACAAGGCAGUGACCAUACCAAGGUCAAAAGCAGGCAGAUGUGAGAGGUUAGAGCGGGUCAGCAAAUAAUGGCAACAGGCAGUGCUAGCCUCUAUGGCUUUCUUUUUAAAAUGGAAAAAAAAACUCACAAGAAAUAUAUGCACCUCUAUAAAAAUGCAGUGCAUACAUGUAUAUGUACAUAUGAGUGUGGGAUGUGAAUAAAAUUAAUCAA